ACGGGACCCGCACAAGCGGUGGAUGAUGUGGUUUAAUUCGAUGCAACGCGAAAAACCUUACCUACCUUUGACGUGUACGGAAUUCGCCAGAGAUGGCUUAGUGCUCGAAAGAGAACCGUAACACAGGUGCUGCAUGGCUGUCGUCAGCUCGUGUCGUGAGAUGUUGGGUUAAGUCCCGCAACGAGCGCAACCCUUGUCAUUAGUUGCUACAUUUAGUUGGGCACUCUAAUGAGACUGCCGGUGACAAACCGGAGGAAGGUGGGGAUGACGUCAAGUCCUCAUGGCCCUUAUAGGUAGGGCUACACACGUCAUACAAUGGAUGGUACAAAGGGUCGCCAACCCGCGAGGGGGAGCCAAUCCCAUAAAACCAUUCGUAGUCCGGAUCGCAGUCUGCAACUCGACUGCGUGAAGUCGGAAUCGCUAGUAAUCGUGGAUCAGAAUGUCACGGUGAAUACGUUCCCGGGUCUU
rnacentral:rRNA from 1 species